rnacentral:rRNA from 1 species
GAUGAACGCUAGCGAUAGGCUUAACACAUGCAAGUCGAGGGGCAGUAUGGUCUUAGCUUGCUAAGACUGAUGGCGACCGGCGCACGGGUGCGUAACGCGUAUGCAACUUGCCUCACAGAGGGGGAUAACCCGUCGAAAGACGGACUAAUACCGCGUACACUCUAUUUUGGGCAUCCAAGGUAGAGGAAAUGAAAUUCGCUGUGAGAUAGGCAUGCGUCCCAUUAGCUAGUUGGUGAGGUAACGGCUCACCAAGGCGACGAUGGGUAGGGGAACUGAGAGGUUGAACCCCCACACUGGUACUGGGACACGGACCAGGCUCCUACGGGAGGCAGCAGUGAGGAAUAUUGGGCAAUGGGCGAGAGCCUGAACCAGCCAAGUCGCGUGAAGGAUGACUGUCCUAUGGAUUGUAAACUUCUUUUGUAGGGGAAUAAAGAGGGGCACGUGUGCCACAGUGAAUGUACCCUACGAAUAAGCAUCGGCUAACUCCGUG